UGAUUAAACAGUUAACUCACCACUUGGUAACAAAGUCCUAGUAGACUUUAGAUGAGAAGUUUAUGUUUUUUUUCAGGCAUUACUGAAACUCCAUUUUCCAUCAUCUCAACAUCUGGGAAUGCAGCCACAACACGAGCAGUGAGCCCCACCAUCACUCAUGCUGCGGGCAUGGCAGGUACAACCGGAGACUCCAUGGGCGCAACCACAGGAGCAGGCAGGGGAAGCACACCUGGAGCGUCAGGCACUGGAGCCACCAGCCCUGGGAACCCAGCAGGUAAGACAAAGACUCUUGUAGGGGGCUGUAAUUGGGGUCCAAUACAAGAUUUGCCAA
rnacentral:lncRNA from 1 species